rnacentral:lncRNA from 1 species
AGCUGUUGGAGCAGGCCAGCGGUGAGAUCAUUCGCGUGUCUUAGGUCCGGAUGGGCUGGAGCGCCAGGAUAGACCAGAAGUACAUGUAAUUCAGAUAGGACAAGAAGCCUUGUGGAGAGGAAGAGGGCACAGGAGAUGAGACACAGAGUUCACCCACCCAAUCCCAAUCACAGUCCUGUCCCCAGGCCCAAUUGCAUGCCCUGCUCUGCAUCAAACCCCAUCCCCAAACCUAUUCUUAAACCCAUCACCAAUUCCAUUCCAUACCCUAACCUAUUCCCAAACCCAUCUCCAAACCGAAACUCACCUUCAUCCCCUACACUGUCCCUAACCCAUACGCAAACUCCAACCCAGUCCCAUCCCCAUUAUCCAGCCCCAUGUGCAUCCCCAAUCCCGCCUCCCACUUCAGUCACUUCCUAUCUAGCCCUGUCCACAACCCCACCCCGUCCCAAAUGCUAUCCCAAAUGCUAUUCCUGUCUGCAUCCCUGAACCCAUACCCAAAGCCAACCUCAUCCUCUCCCAUACCAGUCAUCAGGAAGAGGAAGACACUGGCCCAGGUCAGGUAGAAGCUGAGUGCCAGCUGGUAGGUCAUGCCUUCCUGCAGGUACCUGUGGGCCUGCAGCAGGUAGAACAGGAUACCCAGUACGAUGCUGGUUCCUGCAUGAGCACAGGUGUUAGGAGGCUGAGAAUCAGAUAUGUAAGGACUCCUUCCCAUAGUCAUGUGGCUGCCUGGCUCUGGCUCAUUAUUUCCCCACUUUCUUUAACCUCCCAGACCCUGUACCUUUGCUCCUAAGCAUGAAGAUGGGCUUCUGACCAAGUCCUGCUAGAGGACACUGAAAGGGCAAGCCUUGGGCUUUAACCAGGCAAUGGAAAAUUUAAAUUGGGCUCCAGAGAAGAGACAUUGAGACUGAUACUUCCAGCACUGAGGAUCUACCUCUAGAAGUCUAGCUCAGAACUUGGCCUCCGGCCUGGGCACUGCCUCAUACCUGCCAGAAUUGAUCUCAAUGGAGCUGCACAAUGAGAGGUUUUGCAUGUUGUCUAGAGGACUUUGGUUGAGUUCAGAGCUGAGCACACUUGCCUUCAGACUCUCCUGGGACUCCCAGGUAACUGAUUCAAUGCUUUUGAUACUGGGCUCGGGGCCGUAGGUAAGUGAUGGGAGCACAUUGACAAUGGCCCAGGCUUGGAAGUUGGGGGUUGGAACACUUAAAUGGGCAGUCUCGGUUGUUGACAGGUAGUUUUGGUCAUGAUCUUUGUUGCUGGGGAUAAUUGAUGAUUAGUCAGGGGGUGAGAGCCUUGGAUACUGAAGCAGCGAGUUUGGAAAAUUGGUGAAGCACCUCGCAUACUGAAAUCGUGGCUGUAGGUAAUGGCUGGUGUUUCUGGGAUACUGAUCUGUUGACUGCUGAUAGCUGGUGUAGGGUCUUGGAUACUGACCUGGUGAUUGUGAAUAAUUGGCAAGGGGUCUUGGAUACUGACCAGGCGAUUGCUGCUGGCUGGUGGAGGCUGUUGGAUACUGACCCCGUGACUGUUCCUGGCUGGUGGAGGGUCUUGGAUACUGACCCGGGAAUUGUAGUUCUCAUCCAUAUGAGCAAGGGCUUCAUGUUACUGGCCGUGGCCCUGUGCUGAGUCCUCCUCCCGCCCAUGGCCCUCUCCUCCUGGCCAGUGGUCCUCCGCCUGAACAUGGCCGACUUUGUCUUCAGUUUCCUCUGCCUCGGCAUUGGGCUCCUGAUUUCUCUUCAGCCUGACGCUCUUUUCAGUUAACGGCAAGGCGGUGCACCCAAGUCCGGUGGUGUCCUACCUGGUGACCUCCUACCUGUGCUGGGACGCCAGCGACUUGAUGCUGCACUCCGCAGGGCGCAGCGAGGCGGACAUCCAAACAGCGGAACUCAGACGCUGACUCCGAGCGCACCCCGGGCCUUCCCAUUUCAUACACCCUCGAGGAUGAGACCCAAGCACCUCCAAGGAAUAGCACCCGAGGUCUUCAGGACACCGACCGGUAGCCAUGGCCAGAUGCCCGGCCAACCCCUUCAGCGUGGCCACGCCCUGGAUAUUCGACCUCCCCUGAGGCCCCACCCCCUGAUAUCAGGCCACGCCCUCCGAGGGGACCGGUGGCAAACUCCAGCCCUCGCUCUAGGGCCCGCCCUUUGCGGCUUUGUCCCUGCCCACUGGGUCCUCACAGUACCUCCACCCCAGAGGCCCAGCAUCCCCUCCCGUUCUGCAGACACUUGUCCAGCGUCCCGCUGAGCUCGGCAGUGUGGCUAGUUUGUGUGGCCCUGCCCCUGGUGCCCAGCCAGGGUGGUCUGCAUGGAACUUCUUUCCCGGAGUUCCGGCCUCAGCUCCGAUGUCCACCCUUGUCCCCAGGUGGACACAGCACCGCCCAGCAUUUGGUGCAACUCCACCCUUCUGCAGAACGGGCCCCUCCCUGGGAAGGCAUGGCUUGCAAUAACAUCCCUCUGUACCUUUUCUGGCUUCCCCGCCACAAUAAAACCUCUCAGCCUCAGACCUUCCAUUGCCCCCCACCUCCCCACCAGGGCAGGGUCCAUCCUAGUGUGAGUGAACUGUUCUGGCGUCCCUGACUUGCCCUUUGGGA